GCAGACACAUUCCAGCCAAACAGCAGCAGACCCUCCCUCCCAGACCCUCCCACCUCCUGGACAGCAUCCAUUUUACAUUCAUUGUGAAGCUGCAUUCUUAGUGAGCUGUCCAGGAGGUGGGAGGGUCUGGGAGGGAGGGUCUGCUGCUGAUUGGCUGGAAUGUGUCUG
rnacentral:miRNA from 1 species